ensembl:lncRNA
CACAGACACCGUCGCUGACCCGCUGCACCAGCCAACGUCCUAUCUCUCCUGUUCACUACUGGCACAGGUGCCACCCUUGUCUGCAGUAUGUUUAUGAACACCUGGGGGUUGGACUGUGAGGUUGGACAGCUGCAGUUGCUGUCCAGGGCUCCAGAACCAGUGAUGGCAGUCUUGGGCCAGGACAGCCACUGUAGAUCUCAGCCACUGCUCACGUUCCUCUAGCGACCAGAGCACUCCCUUGGCAGCGAGAACAUUUUCUCCAAUGAUUAGCACAGCUACCUAAUGAUGGGCCUGGCUCAGCUGCCCCUUGCUGACACUAUUUCAGCAUUCAAGACCCUCUGCCUUCUGCUAAACACUGCCUUGUCCAAUCCAGGUCUUCUCCACUUGGUUCUGGGGGUUUCUUCACCAUCCCCUUACUCUCCCUACCCCCUGCUGUCACCUCCUCCCUUCACUUCAUGACAGGAUAGCAGAAUUGGAAACCUAUCACUGUCUUGCUUUCCUGAUAGAGAGGCCCGGAGUGAGGUGACGGUCGGCUCGGAUCUGCCAACAAAGAGCUUCCGCAAGCCUGCCAUCCUUGGCAUAACACCCUCGCUCUGAGUAUCUCACAUGAAAAGCCGCUGAAUCCUCACACAGCACCCUGAGGCAGCUCCUGCCCCCAUUGCUGUGGAUAUGAAGCACAGAGAGGUCAAAUGACUUCACCAAGACCACACAGUCUGAUGUUUGAGCCACACUUCUACCUGGGGUUCCAUGGUCCAUGCCAGGGAGACACAAGAACAGAUGCCAUUCCAGGGAACAUGCCCUGCCUGUUUUCUCCUGGGGCCUGGUCUGACCCCGGACCUCUGGAGGGCAGGACCAGGAUCCAGUCCAUCUCCCAAAUGAAGCUUAACCCAGGCUUCAGUUCAGUCCAGCCUGCUUACAUACAAGUUCCUGUGGACUUCUGAAUGAGGUGACGUUUGAGCAUCGUGGAAAGUUAUGGAGGAACUCAGCAUAGAGAGCCGUGGGAAGGGAAUCAUGGGCAGAGAAAAUAGCUUGUGUAAAGUCUUGGGGAGGAUGUAUCAGCCCAGGGAAAGCUGAGAGGGAGAGAUGGGGCUAGACCCAGCACCUUGGUUUCAUCACAGAACCAGGAACUGCCUCACUGACCUGCAUGUGUCCCAAACAGACAGGCAAAGGGCACAGGGAGGGGGGUUGGUGGAGGGGAGCAGGGGUGCUACCACCAGGUCUCAUGGCUGCAGGUUGGACACUUGGGAGUGCUGGUUGCAAUCCAGUUUGGCCCAGUAGCCCUCCAGACUGUGAGCCAGGUCCCAUCUGGGGUGACAGAUAGACAAUGCCGGUGCCAGGCCUGAGGGGUGUUCCUCCAUUUCCUCUCCUGACAAGCGAUGGAACUGGCAGAUAAGGAUUCUUCUCCCUAAUCUCCCUGCUCAGGCUGGAACCAGAAUGCAAGCCGAGCCUGGCACUCCCUUCAAGGCUUAAUCCUCUCCUUCCUGCCUUUAAAGCUGUGGAUGGCAGUCACGGGUAGCCAUCUCCGGAGGAUGCUGUUGAUGGCAAGCCAACUAACGCACACAUGGGUCUCUGUUGUAAGGACUGCCUGAGAUGCUUGGGUAGCCCCCAAAUCUGCUCAUUGCUAUAGAGAAGGCAGGAGCGGGACUGGUAGGAUCCAUGUGGGAGUCGCAGCUGGGCUACCCUGAGUCCCUAACUUUGCUCCUGCCAACUGUGUGACUUAAGGAAAGUUGCUUCCCCUCUCUGAGCUUCAGUAAAACAGGGAAAAUAAAUCCUCCAAGAUUUUUUCUUUUAAAGCUUGAGUAGAU